rnacentral:rRNA from 1 species
AACGAACGCUGGCGGCAGGCCUAACACAUGCAAGUCGAGCGCGCCCUUCGGGGUGAGCGGCGGACGGGUGAGUAACGCGUGGGAACGUGCCCUUUUCUACGGAAUAGCCUCGGGAAACUGAGAGUAAUACCGUAUACGCCCUUUGGGGGAAAGAUUUAUCGGAAAAGGAUCGGCCCGCGUUGGAUUAGGUAGUUGGUGGGGUAAUGGCCUACCAAGCCGACGAUCCAUAGCUGGUUUGAGAGGAUGAUCAGCCACACUGGGACUGAGACACGGCCCAGAUUCCUACGGGAGGCAGCAGUGGGGAAUCUUAGACAAUGGGGGCAACCCUGAUCUAGCCAUGCCGCGUGAGUGAUGAAGGCCUUAGGGUUGUAAAGCUCUUUCAGCUGGGAAGAUAAUGACGGUACCAGCAGAAGAAGCCCCGGCUAACUCCGUG